UCGAGCGAGUCUGCCUUGAAGAUCGGAGUGCUUGCACUCUGUGAAACAAGAUACAGGCUAGCGGCGGACGGGUGAGUAACACGUGGGUAACCUGCCCAAGAGAUCGGGAUAACACCUGGAAACAGAUGCUAAUACCGGAUAACAACAGAUGAUGCCUAUCAACUGUUUAAAAGAUGGUUCUGCUAUUACUCUUGGAUGGACCUGCGGUGCAUUAGCUAGUUGGUAGGGUAACGGCCUACCAAGGCGAUGAUGCAUAGCCGAGUUGAGAGACUGAUCGGCCACAUUGGGACUGAGACACGGCCCAAACUCCUACGGGAGGCAGCAGUAGGGAAUCUUCCACAAUGGACGCAAGUCUGAUGGAGCAACGCCGCGUGAGUGAAGAAGGGCUUCGGCUCGUAAAGCUCUGUUGUUGGUGAAGAAGGACAGGGGUAGUAACUGACCUUUGUUUGACGGUAAUCAAUUAGAAAGUCACGGCUAACUACGUGCCAGCAGCCGCGGUAAUACGUAGGUGGCAAGCGUUGUCCGGAUUUAUUGGGCGUAAAGCGAGUGCAGGCGGCUCGAUAAGUCUGAUGUGAAAGCCUUCGGCUCAACCGGAGAAUUGCAUCAGAAACUGUCGAGCUUGAGUACAGAAGAGGAGAGUGGAACUCCAUGUGUAGCGGUGAAAUGCGUAGAUAUAUGGAAGAACACCGGUGGCGAAGGCGGCUCUCUGGUCUGUUACUGACGCUGAGGCUCGAAAGCAUGGGUAGCGAACAGGAUUAGAUACCCUGGUAGUCCAUGCCGUAAACGAUGAGUGCUAAGUGUUGGGAGGUUUCCGCCUCUCAGUGCUGCAGCUAAC
rnacentral:rRNA from 1 species